GAGUGUGGGUUCCAUCCCUGGUCAAGGAGCUGAGAUCCCACAUGCCUUGCAGCCAAAAAACCAAAGAACAUAAAACAGAAGCAAUAUUGUAACAAAGUCAAUACAGACUUUGAAAAUAGUCCACCAAAAAAAAAAAUCUUUAAAAAAGAAAAAAAGAACAUAAACUUUGAGGGAAUUCGCUGGUGGUCCAGUGGUUAAGACUCAGGCUUUCACUGCUGGCGUGGGUUUAAUCCUGGUCACCGGAACUAAGAUUCCCCAAACUGCGAGGCGCAGCCCAGAAAAAAAAACCAUAAACUUUAGGACCAGACAACCUGGAAAUAAGUCCCAGUUCCCUGUAUACUACAUAUGUUCUCUAAGAGCAAGUUACUUGACCUUUUACGCCACAAUUUCCUCACCUUAGAAGGGGUAUACUCCAUCUCACCAGGUCAUUAGGAGAUUAAAGGAGUUAACGUGUAACGUACCUGGAACACCACCUGGCACAUAGUAAGUUACUGCUCAGUAAGGUUUAGUUAUAUUAUUGCCUGACUUUCUACACAAGAAAUUUUGAGAGAUGGGCAACUGAGCAGCUAUAGAAAUUUUAUCUUCGAAGCUGCCUAUUCUAUUCAGAGCUGUUCUGGCUUGGCAGUAGCCUUCCUCACCUCUUAACAACAAUAUCAUAGCCCUGCAGUAAGACCAUUUCAUGUCACCACAGAGAGAAACUGGGAGCAAACAGGGAUGUUAGUGGAUUCCAAGUUUAUCCAAAGAUCCUAUGCCAGCUAUUCAUUUCCAGAUUUUUCUGACCCAGGAGUAAAACAAAAGAAAGCUUUGUUAUAUGUGAUGGAUAAAGAAGUAACAAAAGGGAACAAUUUAAGUCUGGAAGGGAGAAAAAAAGAGACAAAAGGCACUACAGAACUGUCCAUAACGUCCCCUCCACUUUACACAGGGUGCCAAAGAAGAAGCAACCACUAGGUGGCAGCAGAUGAGCAGAUGAACCAAAGGGAACCAAUUGCCUUCCGUUUUAGGAACCUUUGCACCAAUCCCAGCCUACAGCACCUGGCACCUCAGACAGGCUGCGAGGACGGAAGCAGCAUCAGGUUCCAAUAGGAGAGCACGCUCCCCAGGGAUGAGUUAGUAAAGAAACAAGACCUUUGUGCAUGGAAUGAAAGAACCAUGCACAAGGAGGCUGAGGCCCUUCUGAAAGGCCACUGACGCUGUGACCUUACUGCUUUCUCUACCAAUGGACACCUCACUGGCCCAGGUUACAAUAAUCCUAGACACUGGUGUCUCAAAAUAGAGCACUUCAGUUACCUCUUAGGCUGGUCUCCUUUAGCCAGGUGAGAGGAGCCCCGCCUCUCUUCCUGGGUCCAGCCACAGUUUGACAUAGCAUAGCGAAGAAUGGCAUCGGAAACGGACGUGGGGCUUCGGCCCUGGACACAGGCUUCUAUCUCAGGCACCGAGAGCUGGCUUUGCAGGAAGAGGUGUAACUGGCUGUCUGACAGGAGGACCACACUCUGCAGGACCCUGGGGCAAACACAGGGGCCAUCCUGCUCGGCACACACACCUCACCCCCCGGCCCCUCCCCAGGAGGCAAGUGCUAGCCCGCCAAGUCCACUCACUUUUCGAGAAAGUGCUGCAGACCUUGUCGUCGCUUCUCAAUGAAUUCAUCUGAGCUGCCAAAGAAGGUUGACUUCCCAGGAAGUUCAGGCAUUUGGUAACUUGCCAGCACAAGAGCAGAGUUAAAUACACUGAAGUGUCUUUCCACAAAAGUAACCAUAGGAGAGAUGAUGACAAGGAAAUCCACACCUCAGUAGAGCUCACACAUCUCCAGUGCCUUGAAAGGUUUGCCAAAUUCAGAACCAUAAUUUAGUAACUAAAUGGUCAUCAUUCUCAGGCUCAAAGAGAGUUUGCCUAAGGCUCCGAGAGCAAGCUCCUCUCCUUUGGGGCUUAUACCACUUAGAAACAAAUAGCUAUAAACUGGCUUUAAAAAAAGCCUAGGACCCCCCAAGACGCUAUAUACUUAAAACUAAGUUUAAAGGGCACUAAAAAUGUUUCAAUUGUAACUUUCCUUAAAAACAAUGGAACAAACACAAAAACCUAUACUUCAAGUAAUAAUUUCUAGCAACUACUAUUCUCCCAGCUCCCUCCCUGUAGGUGCCACUCCUCAGGAGGAAAUGAAGCUCAUUUCU